GACGAACGCUGGCGGCGUGCUUAACACAUGCAAGUCGAACGAAGAGCGAUGGAAGCUUGCUUCUAUCAAUCUUAGUGGCGAACGGGUGAGUAACGCGUAAUCAACCUGCCCUUCAGAGGGGGACAACAGUUGGAAACGACUGCUAAUACCGCAUACGAUCUAAUCUCGGCAUCGAGGAUAGAUGAAAGGUGGCCUCUACAUGUAAGCUAUCACUGAAGGAGGGGAUUGCGUCUGAUUAGCUAGUUGGAGGGGUAACGGCCCACCAAGGCGAUGAUCAGUAGCCGGUCUGAGAGGAUGAACGGCCACAUUGGGACUGAGACACGGCCCAGACUCCUACGGGAGGCAGCAGUGGGGAAUCUUCCGCAAUGGACGAAAGUCUGACGGAGCAACGCCGCAUGAGCGAUGACGGCCUUCGGGUUGUAAAGCUCUGUUAAUCGGGACGAAAGGCCUUCUUGCGAAUAGUGAGAAGGAUUGACGGUACCGGAAUAGAAAGCCACGGCUAACUACGUG
rnacentral:rRNA from 1 species